rnacentral:misc_RNA from 1 species
GUAUAGUUGAAAAAACUUUCUUCGUCAGCACUGUCAGUAAAGGUGCCUGUAGUAGAAGCGUUGACAAGAAACUGUAGCCUCGUAGCGGAUGUUGCAUAAACUACUGAAACGCUACAGUUUAAAGCCCACUUGAUCUCCCUGCCAUACCUCUAUUUAAGCCAACAAACGAAUAGCAUAAGCGCUCAGUAUAUCAGUAAGAAUCGUUUGGAGUGCUAAAUACCCUUAUUCCGUGUAGUGUAUGUUUAUUAUCUUGAUCCAUACACGGUUAUUAAGUAUCUUUUUUCAUUUCCUAUCGAUUUGACAAUACGUCAUAAACAGCAGGUCGCCAUCGAAUUGGAGUGGCGUUCCGUAACGUAGAAUAUUGUAUAAAAUGGCAGACGUUGUGGAUUGUAAUUUUCCUGUUUGGGGACUUCUACCGAAAAAAGAAACCGGUGUCAAUCAAUUUCUCAUUAAAUAUCCCGAGUACGAUGGACGUGGCACGAUUAUCGCGAUCCUCGAUUCCGGCGUCGACCCUGGAGCACCUGGAUUACAGGUAACAUCUGAUGGUAAACCCAAAAUUAUUGGACGAUUUGAUUGUAGCGGAGCAGGAGAUGUUGAUACAAGCACUAUCGUGCAGGCUGAAGAAGGUUUUAUAACUGGCGUUACAGGCCGUAAACUCAAGAUUCCGUUUAAAUGGUCAAAUCCUUCGGGUGAUUACCAUGUGGGAGUUGUGUAUCCUUUUUCUAUUUAUCCAUCCAAAUUGUCUGAAAAAAUAACGGCCGAGAGAAAAAAACGGUGCUGGGACGAUGGCCAGAAAACAGCUCUUGCCGAAGCGACAAGGAAGUUACAGGAAUUUGAAGCAAGAACUUCACAAGCACCGAGUCCACAGGAAAAACUGGAAAAGGAAGAGCUCGAAGCUAGAAUCGAAGUUUUGAUGAACGCGGAGAAAAAGUACAACGAUUCGGGCCCGGCUUACGACUGUGUAGUUUUUCAUAAUGGGGUCGAAUGGAAAGCCUGUAUCGAUACGUCAGAAGAGGGAAAUUUGGAAGCUGGUGUUAGCCUUGGCGAAUAUUCGGUCAAUUACGAAUUUGCCCCGCUCACGCCGGAAGAUCAAUUGAACAUUUCCAUCAAUAUUCACAACGAGGGAAAUACCCUAGAAAUUGUCAGUCUCUGCUCUAGUCACGGGACACACGUAGCAUCUAUAGCGGCAGCAUAUUUUCCGGAGAGUAAGGAACUGAACGGUGUGGCGCCAGGUGCACAAAUAAUAUCUCUAACAAUCGGUGACGGUCGUAUAGAUCCGAUGGAGACGGGAACGGCACUAGUAAGAGCAAUUAUAUGGAUAAUGCAACAACGAAUAAAAGUUCACGUUAUAAAUAUGAGUUACGGGGAGCACGCUAAUUGGACCAAUACAAGUAGAAUAAUGGAACUGAUGAACGAGGUUAUUGACAAAUAUGGAGUUUCGUGGGUCGCAGCCGCGGGAAAUUUAGGCCCGGCAUUGUGUACAAUUUGUACACCACCAGAUAUCAAUUCGUCCAGUAUAGUGAGUGUUGGGGCGUACGUGUCCCCGGAUAUGAUGGUGGCUGAAUAUUCUUUGAGAGAAAAAUUGCCGGGAAUGCCGUACACUUGGUCCUCUCGUGGUCCAAUGGUUGAUGGUGGAGCCGGAAUCACGGUUUGCGCACCCGGAGGCGCAAUUACCAGCGUACCAAAUUUUACUCUUAGAAAAUGUCAACUUAUGAACGGUACAAGCAUGGCAAGUCCCCACGUUGCUGGUGCUGUUGCUGUGCUAAUAUCCGGCCUCGAAGCGAAAAACGUGCCGUAUUCACCAUACAGCAUCAAACGUGCCCUUGAAAAUAGUGCAAUGUACAUUGAACAUUUGGAUCCGUACGCUCAAGGUUGCGGACUUUUACAAGUUGAACGCGCUUUCGAGAACCUCGUCGAGUACAGCGAUGCUAUCGAACGAGACGUUCGAUUCGCGAUCAGCUGUGGUGUCAACGCUUCUAAGGGAAUACAUCUUAGAUCGGGAGUUAUUGAUCGACCGAAAGACUGUACGAUUACGAUCGAACCCGUUUUCCUCGAUACCGAAAAAACUGACCCACAAAAAAAAAUAGAUUUCAGUCUCCGUCUGUCGUUAAUAUGCGAGGCCUCUUGGGUACACUUUCCCUCGCAUUUUGAGCUGAUGAAUAUGUCACGCGCAUUUGCGGUACGAAUCGAUGCUGCCAAAUUGUCAGAGGGUGUACACUCCGCAUCUAUAAAAGCUUACGACGUCAAAAACGUUGAGAAAGGUCCCGUGUUCCGUAUUCCAGUAACCGUCGUUCAACCAAUGACACUUCCAAAAACUAUUAAUUUACCAGAUUUUCAUUACAACAACAUACUGUUCAAACCGAACACUAUUAAUCGACAUUUCAUUCUCGUUCCGGACGAUGCAACGUGGGCAGUUUUGAGGCUGAAAGGUACGGAGAAGGAAAAAACUGGAAGAUUCGUGAUUCACACGGUACAGCUGAAACCUCGACUAGUCUGCAAAACUCUUGAGCUUAAUAAAAUGAUUAACGUUACGUCACAAUCUGAAACCGUUCAGGGCUUCGCAGUCCAGGGAGGACUCAUAUUGGAGGUGGCUGUGGCUAAAUAUUGGGCUAAUUUAGGAGAAAUAUUGGUUGAUUAUUCUAUAGAAUUUCACGGUAUUCACGUAAUUGAUGGAAAUAUGACAAUGCAAUCGGGUGAUGGUAUUCAUCGUCUCGAAUUGCGGAGCUCGCUACGACACGAAGAAGUCGUGCCAAGUAUAACGUUGAAAACGGCCGUACAGGUACUACGACCGAACGAAAUGAAGAUUUCGCCAUUGGGAGAACGCGACGUUAUUCCACCAGCAAGACAAAUUUACGAGCUACAACUUACGUACACAUUCCACGUUGCAAAGACGACCGAGGUCACACCAAACGCCGCUUUGCUCAGUGAUUUACUGUACGAGAGUGAAUACGAGUCACAAAUGUGGAUGAUUUAUGAUUCUAAUAAGCAACUCAUUUUCUGUGGCGACGCCUAUCCUUCGAAGUAUACGGUUCACAAAAUGGAAAAAGGUGAUUACAAUCUAAAAAUGCACGUCAGGCACGAGAAGAAAGAUUUACUUGACCGUCUGACAGAAAUGCCAAUUUUGCUGAGUCAAAAACUUGCCUCGCCGAUUAAUCUUGACGUUUACGCUAACCAGUGUCAAGCAAUUAUUGGUGGAAAAAAAAUGGUCACGGCAUCGGUUCCACCAGGACACGUUAUUCCUGUUUAUAUUGCACCCAUAUCCAACGAGAACAAAAUAUCGAAAGGCGCCACCCUGGGAACGUAUCUCCAAGGUACCGCAACCUUCUGUAAGGACGAGAUUGGUAAAAAAGUCGAUUGUCACACCUUCAAAUAUGUACUUUGUGAACCUGGGAAAAAGAACAAUUCGAAUGCGAAAAACGAAAAAGAGAAAGUUAGUAAGUGGGACGAGUACAAGGAAACAUUGAGAGACGUCAAGUGUACCUGGCUAGCUAAACUCGCACCAUCGAUAAGUGGCACAUUUAAAUAACUUUCGCAUUAAAUUUAUCUCCGGGUUCGAUAAACAUUCGCCCCCAGGUUUUGUGACAAUGGGGUAAUGCUCUGGAUAAUGUGUCCCAGAUGGAGGUGCGGCGCUUCAACCCAGUUUGGAUGAUAUACUUUCCAGUGACAAAAGAGACUCGGACCCUCUGGUAUAAUGAACCAGGGGAGCACGCAGUCCACUUGUACAACGAGUUGAAGAUCGCGUAUCCAGAUCAUUUGCCGGUACAUACGGCGAUGUUGACGUCGCUCGAUUCGCCCGAAGCUCGUCG